UACGAGGGGUAGCGUUGUCGAAGUUACUGGCGUAAAGGCGCGCGUAGGCGGAUUGGAAAGUUGGGGGUGAAAUCCCCGGGGCUCAACCCCCGGAACUGCCUCCAAAACUUCCAGUCUGGAGUUCGAGAGAGGUGAGUGGAAUUCCGAGUGUAGAGGUGAAAUUCGUAGAUAUUCGGAGGAACACCAGUGGCGAAGGCGGCUCACUGGCUCGAUACUGACGCUGAGGUGCGAAAGUGUGGGGAGCAAACAGGAUUAGAUACCCCCGUAGU
rnacentral:rRNA from 1 species